GACGAACGCUGGCGGCGUGCCUAAUACAUGCAAGUUGAGCGCUGACGGAUGGUACUUGUACCAACUGGAUGAGCAGCGGACGGGUGAGUAACGCGUGGGGAAUCUGCCUUUGAGCGGGGGACAACAUUUGGAAACGAAUGCUAAUACCGCAUAAAAACUUUAAACACAAGAUUCAAGUUUGCAAGAUGCAAUUGCAUCACUCAAAGAUGAUCCCGCGUUGUAUUAGCUAGUUGGUGAGGUAAAGGCUCACCAAGGCGAUGAUACAUAGACGACCUGAGAGGGUGAUCGGCCACAUUGGGACUGAGACACGGCCCAAACUCCUACGGGAGGCAGCAGUAGGGAAUCUUCGGCAAUGGACGAAAGUCUGACCGAGCAACGCCGCGUGAGUGAAGAAGGUUUUCGGAUCGUAAAACUCUGUUGGUAGAGAAGAGAGUUGGUGAGAGUGGAAAGCUCAUCAAGUGACGGUAACUACCCAGAAAGGGACGGCUAACUACGUG
rnacentral:rRNA from 1 species